UACGAAGGGUGCAAGCGUUGUUCGGAAUUACUGGGCGUAAAGCGCGCGUAGGCGGCUUUGUAAGUUAGAGGUGAAAGCCUGGAGCUCAACUUCAGAAUUGCCUUUAAGACUGCAUCGCUUGAAUCCGGGAGAGGUGAGUGGAAUUCCGAGUGUAGAGGUGAAAUUCGUAGAUAUUCGGAAGAGCACCAGUGGCGAAGGCGGCUCACUGGCCCGAUACUGACGCUGAGGUGCGAAAGCGUGGGGAGCAAACAGG
rnacentral:rRNA from 1 species